UGAACGCUGGCGGCGUGCCUAAUACAUGCAAGUCGCGCGAACGGACGCGAAGCUUGCUUCUCUGAUGUUAGCGGCGGACGGGUGAGUAACACGUGGAUAACCUACCUAUAAGACUGGGAUAACUUCGGGAAACCGGAGCUAAUACCGGAUAAUAUUUUGAACCGCAUGGUUCAAAAGUGAAAGACGGUCUUGCUGUCACUUAUAGAUGGAUCCGCGCUGCAUUAGCUAGUUGGUAAGGUAACGGCUUACCAAGGCAACGAUGCAUAGCCGACCUGAGAGGGUGAUCGGCCACACUGGAACUGAGACACGGUCCAGACUCCUACGGGAGGCAGCAGUAGGGAAUCUUCCGCAAUGGGCGAAAGCCUGACGGAGCAACGCCGCGUGAGUGAUGAAGGUCUUCGGAUCGUAAAACUCUGUUAUUAGGGAAGAACAUAUGUGUAAGUAACUGUGCACAUCUUGACGGUACCUAAUCAGAAAGCCACGGCUAACUACGUG
rnacentral:rRNA from 1 species